rnacentral:lncRNA from 1 species
GAGCGACCUCGGCGGCGAGAGAGGGCCUAGAAAGAAGUCACUGGGAGCUUGCUGGGUGUUCUUGCUCCCCGGGCUUCCAGAAGCAUGCCCCAGAGCAGGGGAGUUUAGCUGGUCUCCAGGCAUUCCAGGUCCUUGCAGCUUGUAACCACGAAGCCUUGCAACGGGUAUCUAAAUAGGA